rnacentral:lncRNA from 1 species
ACUAUCUUUGGACAGACCUUCAAGUGGGCAUCAAAUGGUCUAUUGGUUUUGGAAAAAAUGUUAAGUUCUGGGAAGACUGCUGGCUAGAGAACUUGGGGAUGCUUAAGCUUCUAGUCUUUGUGUUUAUCGAGGAACAGGACAUCAACAAAAGUUUUAGGGAUUAUGUGGCACCGUCUGGAUAAUGGGAUUUGGAGGCCCUACACCAGGUGUUGCUGAUGGGUAUGCUGUUCCAACUAACAGUGAUGUCGAUUCCUAACGAGGAUGAUAUCUUGGAUUUGUAUUAUUGGGGUAUGAAAAGUUCUGGAUGUUUCUCGAUUUGCUCGGCUUAAGUCCUUCUGCAAAGCGACUGUUGGCUUCCGGUAGAUAGGAACUGAAGAGAUAUUUGGUGUUAGUCAGGUGCUCAGCGGGUGCGCACUUUUCUUUG